rnacentral:pre_miRNA from 15 species
AGUGAAUAGUUUAAAAGUCCACUCGAUGGCUCAGGUACUUAGUGACUCUCAAUGCUUUUGACAUUUUGGGGGUCACUCUGUGCCUGUGCUGCCAGUGGGACAUAAUCUACAAAUAAAGU